GAAAUGCGAUAAGUAAUGUGAAUUGCAGAAUCCCGCGAACCAUCGAGUCUUUGAACGCAAGUUGCGCCCGAAGCCAUUAGGUUGAGGGCACGCCUGCCUGGGCGUCUCACGUUGCGUCGCCCGCGCCCCCUCCCCCCGCGAAGGGGGGAAGAAGGGCUGCGGGCGGAUGUUGGCCCCCUGCGCGCGCCCGCUCGCGGUCGGCCCAAAAGCGAGUCCCCCGCAACCGACGACGCGUCGCGACGAGUGGUGGUUGACAAACCGUUGCGUCGCCUACCCGCUAAGUUUAA
rnacentral:misc_RNA from 1 species